UGGGGGGGGUGCCUUAAUACAUGCAAGUCGUACGCACUGGCCCAACUGAUUGAUGGUGCUUGCACCUGAUUGACGAUGGAUCACCAGUGAGUGGCGGACGGGUGAGUAACACGUAGGUAACCUGCCCCGGAGCGGGGGAUAACAUUUGGAAACAGAUGCUAAUACCGCAUAACAACAAAAGCCACAUGGCUUUUGUUUGAAAGAUGGCUUUGGCUAUCACUCUGGGAUGGACCUGCGGUGCAUUAGCUAGUUGGUAAGGUAACGGCUUACCAAGGCGAUGAUGCAUAGCCGAGUUGAGAGACUGAUCGGCCACAAUGGAACUGAGACACGGUCCAUACUCCUACGGGAGGCAGCAGUAGGGAAUCUUCCACAAUGGGCGCAAGCCUGAUGGAGCAACACCGCGUGAGUGAAGAAGGGUUUCGGCUCGUAAAGCUCUGUUGUUGGAGAAGAACGUGCGUGAGAGUAACUGUUCACGCAGUGACGGUAUCCAACCAGAAAGUCACGGCUAACUACGUGCCAGCAGCCGCGGUAAUACGUAGGUGGCAAGCGUUAUCCGGAUUUAUUGGGCGUAAAGCGAGCGCAGGCGGUUGCUUAGGUCUGAUGUGAAAGCCUUCGGCUUAACCGAAGAAGUGCAUCGGAAACCGGGCGACUUGAGUGCAGAAGAGGACAGUGGAACUCCAUGUGUAGCGGUGGAAUGCGUAGAUAUAUGGAAGAACACCAGUGGCGAAGGCGGCUGUCUGGUCUGCAACUGACGCUGAGGCUCGAAAGCAUGGGUAGCGAACAGGAUUAGAUACCCUGGUAGUCCAUGCCGUAAACGAUGAGUGCUAGGUGUUGGAGGGUUUCCGCCCUUCAGUGCCGGAGCUAACGCAUUAAGCACUCCGCCUGGGGAGUACGACCGCAAGGUUGAAACUCAAAGGAAUUGACGGGGGCCCGCACAAGCGGUGGAGCAUGUGGUUUAAUUCGAAGCUACGCGAAGAACCUUACCAGGUCUUGACAUCUUGCGCUAACCUUAGAGAUAAGGCGUUCCCUUCGGGGACGCAAUGACAGGUGGUGCAUGGUCGUCGUCAGCUCGUGUCGUGAGAUGUUGGGUUAAGUCCCGCAACGAGCGCAACCCUUGUUACUAGUUGCCAGCAUUAAGUUGGGCACUCUAGUGAGACUGCCGGUGACAAACCGGAGGAAGGUGGGGACGACGUCAGAUCAUCAUGCCCCUUAUGACCUGGGCUACACACGUGCUACAAUGGACGGUACAACGAGUCGCAAGCUCGCGAGAGUAAGCUAAUCUCUUAAAGCCGUUCUCAGUUCGGACUGUAGGCUGCAACUCGCCUACACGAAGUCGGAAUCGCUAGUAAUCGCGGAUCAGCAUGCCGCGGUGAAUACGUUCCCGGGCCUUGUACACACCGCCCGUCACACCAUGGGAGUUUGUAACGCCCAAAGUCGGUGGCCUAACCUUUAUGGAGGGAGCCGCUUAAGGCGGGCCAAGAGG
rnacentral:rRNA from 1 species